rnacentral:lncRNA from 1 species
UAGUCGAGGUGUUUAGAAAUGUCAUAUUUUGCGUCUAAAUCAAACAGGAGUCCAGCUGUGGUGCUCUGAAAAUCACAGAGAUUUUCAUAUUGUUUUUUAUUAUGGAACUAUUGAAUUGAUGACCGACUCGGUUAGAUUUCAUGUAAGUUAUUUAAAAUAUCUUAAAAAUAAAUUUUAUAAUUUUUUGAUAUUAGUUACUCAGGUUAUGGAAAUGAUUAGAAAUCAAUAAGUGAAAAUAAAAAUCCCAUAAAAAGUGAUGAUUCAGCACUAAAAUUUUAGAUCAGAAAUAUUAGUUCUGUUUUAGAUAAUAUAUAAAAUUUUCUAUAAUAAUUUUUCCGGAUUUGAAUAUUUUUUAGACCGUUAAACUUGCAAAUAAAAUUGUAAAUUUUGAAUUCCUUCUAAUCACUAGAUAAAUAAUAUCGAAAAAAAUAGAAAAAAUUAUUUCUAGAUAAUUCAAAUAUUUAGAUCAAUUUUAACAAAAUUAAUUAUUGAUUUAAAAAUUCUAUCAUCGAAAACAAUUUUAAGAUAUAGAAGCGUGCGUGCUUCUAAAAGCACAUCUGGUCGGUUCUUCAAUCUAUUAACAAUUUAUUUGAUUAUCCUGUAAUAUAUAAUAUUAUUUUAAUAGUGUUAUAAGGAAAAAGUAUUACAUCAUGCAGGGAUUGAUUCCACAAUCUCACGAAAUUGCGAGAGUUUAGGAUUGUCUCUGAGAUCAUAUUAUCAAAAAAAAACAGAAAAGAGAAAUCGGUCUAAAAAUAUAUUUAAUACAUCUUAAUUAAGUAGAAACAAAAGAUAGACUAAAUAAAAACUAAUCGAAAGAGAUUGAAUUUAAGAUCUCACGAAAUAGCAAAAGCUUAGGAUAAAAACUCGUCUAGUCCUAUAUAUUUAAUAUUUGUUUGAGUACAAACCAAAGAAAGACUUAGGCCUGUUUGGAUACUCUUAAAAAUGUAGUAUAGUUAAACUAUACUACAUUAGUAAGAAAAUUAUCCUAUGAAGCGUUUAGGAGAAAAAAAAAAUAACGUAAUUUUUGGAGUAUAGUUAAACUAUACUCCAAAAAAUGGAGUAAAGUUAUAAUCCACUCUAACCAAAAGAAAACAAUUCCACCAUUUUUGGGUAAAGAUGCAUCAAGUUCUAACUUUUAAAUUUGAAUAUAAAAUUUUAAAUUUCAACAUAGAUUUUAAAUUUUAAAUUUUAUAAUUUAAUUUAUAUUCAAAUUUUUAAUUUCAAAUUUAAAAUUUGAAUUUUAUAUUUUAAAUUUUAAAAUUUUUAAAAUUCAAAAUUUUUAAAUUAAAUUUAGAUUUUUAUAUUUUAAAUUUUAAUUUUUAAUUUUUAAAUUUCAAAUUUCAAAUUUUAAAUUUUAAAUUUUCAAAUUUCAAAUUUCACCUAUCAAAUUUUUAAUUUUAAAUUUCAUUGAAAUUUUAAAAUUUAAAUUUUAACUUUUAAUUUUAAAAUUUAGAGAAAUUCCGUAAAAUUGUACAAUGCGCAUCCAAACAGUUUAAAAAUUCCGUGGAGAUUUUUUUACUGUGCAUCCAAACAGGCCCUUAGUGGAAACUAAUCAAAAAGGAGUUGAAUCCAUAAUCUCACAUAAUGGCAAGAGUUUAGAAUUAACUCUACUAUCAUAUUAUCCAAAAGAUCAGUCCAAUAAGAAACUGGUCUCCAAACGCGUUUUACGCUUACAAACAAAAGUACAACUAUACAGAAACUAAUCGAAAGUUUGUGAUGCAUCUUAGAUUGAGUGUGCGAUUAAGAUUGAGUGUGGGAUUAAUAGAUUGGGGAAUCUUAUGAUUUGGUAGA